ensembl:rRNA 5S_rRNA 5S ribosomal RNA
GCUUACGGCCAUACCACCUUAGGCACGCCCGAUAUCGUCUGAUCUCGGAAGCUAAGCAGGGUCGGGCCUGGUUAGUACUUGGAUGGGUGACCGCCUGGGAAUACCAGGUGCUGUAAGCA